GGUGGCUAAAGUUGAACUGAAACUCUGGGGGCGAAAUAACAAGGUGGCGGUUGCGAGGCCUUCUUCGAAGACUUGAACCCCCGCCCUUCGUUAUGUUUGUCCGGUAGCAGAACGUACUGUUAAUUGUUCAGUGAGAGCCCCACACGGCAUCAGAAGUGAUAAUGUGGACAUGAGUAAAAAAUCAUAGGAUCACUCCCCCCCUGGUUUCCCAUAUUAGUUAUGGGGUUAAACAGCCCCUAAAAUUGCAGCCCCAAAGGUUGCGUUAAUGGGGGCCAUGAGUAAUAGACGCACAAAGUGCCAGGAAAGAAUUAUUCAAGGGCAUCGGUAAAUCGAAGGUGAUAACCAUCUUUCGGCGCCGCACUGUACUAAACUAACUAAAGUGGGGGAUAGUGAGGGGAUAAAUUUCCUUAAGGAACUCGGCAAAAUCCCAAUGGCCCACCAGGGCAUAUAUUGGAACACGGGCCUCGACUGUUUACCAAAAACAUAGCCCUCGGCCAAUAUGAAAAUAGAAGUAUGGAGGGUGAGGCCUGCCCAAUGGUUGUAUCUAAAAGCGGUUGAUAAAAGUCGACCGCGUAAGGACAAUUGAAUGGCCGCGGUAACACUGACCGUGAUAAUGUAGCGUAAUCAAUAGCCAAUUAAUUGUUGGCCAGUAUGAAUGGCGCCACGAAGGCCCCACUGUCUUAAGGAAAUUCCCAGUGAAAUUGAAUUCGUAGUGAAGAUGCUACGUCCAAUUUGUUAGACGAAAAGACCCCGUUGAGCUUUACUGGGGCACUUACACGGCCCCGGCCUUCAAGACUGGGUUGAUAAGCCAAGGCUUACCAUACCUAGGGACCGGCCGAAUUUAAAUGGGCGGCUUAGACUAUGUGGCAGCCCCCCCCGUCGGGGCAGAUGAAACCCCACUCCCCCAUGUCAAAGGGGCUAACCCCCCCCCUUGGGGGGGACAGUGUAAGUAGGACAGUUUGGUUGGGGCGACCGCCUUUUAGAGAGUAACGAAGGUGCGCUUAAGGUGCGUAAUUAAUGACUGAAGCCUGACUGCGAGGGGGACACCCCGAGCAGACACCCCCAAGCCCGCCCUCGCCUUCGUACCAACGGAGGGAGGGCGGCGGUGGGGUGGGCCAUAGUGACCCGUUAAUUUAGAGUGGAAUAGUUAACGAUCAACGAAUAAAAGUUACCACGGGGA
rnacentral:rRNA from 1 species